AUUCGUCCUUCCUCAGCCGCGGGUGAUCGUAGCUCGGAAAUGGCGGGUCUCCGUCUACCUUCCACUACAGUCAACUUCUGAGCUAGCGCAUUGCUGCCUUGCCCUGCUCUGGCGCUCCCACUUGGAUCUCGACUGACUUCGUAGUCGUCUCGUUAAUCUGUCACACUUUAGUAUUCCGAGGAUCGUAUUUAGAUGCCCUUUGAGAAAGACUUUGUUCCUGAACUGCUCCCUUCUCUUUUAGGGUUGGACUACUAUAAUACAAUUCUCUUGUGUACAUUCUAGAGACCCUUCAAGUUACAACAUUUAAUAAUGUAUAAUUGCUAUUACUUUGUACGUGUAUUAAGGCUGUUUUGGUGUGAUUAUUUUUUUCGAUUACUUAUCUUUUGAAGUUAUGGACAGUUUCUUUUUCCUGAGACAGGGUCUCUCUGUCGCCCAGGCUGGAGUGCAGCGAUCAUAGUUCCGGGCAGCUUCCAACUCCUCGUAGGCUCAAGCGAUCCUCUUGCCUCAGCCUCCCGAGUAGCUAGGACUACAGGCAUGCGCCACAACAUUCGGCUAAAAAAAAACAAUUUUUUUUAACCUUUUAGAGACAGAGUCUGGCUG
rnacentral:lncRNA from 10 species